AUUGAACGCUGGCGACAUGCCUUACACAUGCAAGUCGAACGCGAAAGUCCUUCGGGCGAGUAGAGUGGCGGACGGGUGAGUAACGCGUGGGAAUCUACCCUAGAGCGGGGGACGAACCCGGGGAAACCCGGGCUAAUACCGCAUACGUCCUACGGGAGAAAGAGGGCCUCUGCUUGCACGCUCUCACUCCAGGAUGAGCCCACGUCCGAUUAGCUAGUUGGUAGGGUAAAGGCCUACCAAGGCCACGAUCGGUAGCUGGUCUGAGAGGAUGAUCAGCCACACUGGGACUGAGACACGGCCCAGACUCCUACGGGAGGCAGCAGUGGGGAAUAUUGGACAAUGGGCGCAAGCCUGAUCCAGCAAUGCCGCGUGUGUAAAGAAGGCCUGCGGGUCGUAAAGCACUUUUCAGUGGGGGAAGAACAGAUUCGGGUCAAUACCCCGGAGCCCUGACGUUACCCACAGAAGAAGCACCGGCUAACUCCGUG
rnacentral:rRNA from 1 species